rnacentral:rRNA from 1 species
UACGUAGGGGGCUAGCGUUGUCCGGAUUUAUUGGGCGUAAAGGGCUCGUAGGUGGCCAACUAAGUCAGACGUGAAAUCCCUCGGCUUAACCGGGGAACUGCGUCUGAUACUGGAUGGCUUGAGUUCGGGAGAGGGAUGUGGAAUUCCAGGUGUAGCGGUGAAAUGCGUAGAUAUCUGGAGGAACACCGGUGGCGAAGGCGGCAUCCUGGACCGACACUGACGCUGAGGAGCGAAAGCCAGGGGAGCAAACGGG